AUCUUUAGUCCCAGUUUAUCCGUGCUUGGUUUAUUUAUGUGUCUGGAAACUUUGGAGAUGUAGAGGACUGGCCACUUCAAUGGAGACACUGAGAAUUAGGUGGUAUAGAUAGGAUUUAUCAUAGGGAACACCAGAGAAAAGAAACAGAACUAACUUAAUGGACUUGCCUUAUCAUUCCAUUUGUUUUUCUCCAUCUCUUUUGGUCUUUCUUGCCCAUGAUUCUGGGGUGGUUGUUGUUGUUGCUUACGCAAUGUCUGAAAUUUGUGUUGCUGGCAAGAUUUUUUUCAAGGAUACAAAAUAUGUAUGUGCUCCUACAAGUAGUGUUUCUAAGGAGAUCCACCUUACAUUGAAGUGGCUGAUACAAUUGGAGGCAGUCUUUGUCUUUAGGGCCCUUUUGACGGGCAACCAGAGUGUGUGUAUGUUGUACAUAUUGACUCCACUGAGCUCAAUUUUUUGGUUCCAGCCAAAACUGACAAGGAAACAGAGGUCCCAGAGGCAUUAUGUUUGGGCAAGAUUUCUAAAUAUAGGUAGCUGAGCAAAAGUGAGACUCAACUAAGGCCUUUGCUGAGGGAAAGGCUGGAUGGAGUUUAGAUGUUAUUAUGCACCAGAAGGUCUUGUACUGAAAGACAUGGUUUAGUGGGAAAUACUGAAGAUAGGUGGACAGCUGAACUGGAUGAUCCUAGAGGUCUUUUCCAACCUUAGUGUUUCUAUGAUUCUAUUAUGGGGGCAGGAGAGGAUUUCACUUGGCACAUAAUACGUUUUACUGGAAUAAAAACAAGAGUAGGGACAGGAUGUAAUUUGUUGUGUUGCAGGUGGGGCAAUGAAUUGCUAUUUCAAAAUAGACCCGGCCCUGUGCAGAGUCUGAAUGACCCGACGACUCAGGCUCAAGGUCUUUGCAUGGUGAGUGUACCUUCAGCAAGGUCAAGGCAGCACAGUCAGUGCAGAUGAGCACUCAGGGCCCUCUCUGAAGAGGACUGCAGAGGCCCAGCAGCCUGCUGCCUCUUUGCACCUCACAGUACAGCCAGGUUGGGUGGAAUAAAGUGGUUUCCCCAUCCCCAGAUCCCUGCCUGGGUCAGCACCAGCAGCACAGAUCGUGUUGCCUGUAGCUCAAGUGCCCUCUUCUGGCAUGAAAUGUUUCAUUCCUCAAUGGCACACAACUGAACGGAAGGGAAUGUUUUUUCUGAUGGUUGCUAAAAUCAAGAACAAAGCAGGUUUUCUAUUCUUUUUUUUCCACCCUAUAUCCUGGCUUGCCUUGGCAGGGUAUAGAGGUCAGUGAGAAGCCUUCCUGUUGUACCAGCCUGGCUGUGUCACAGCACAUCUUGGUGGGACUGUGCUAUAAUGAGAUCUUGUUUGCAUCUCUGAGGUCAUUAAAAAUGCUUGUUUUCUCCUUUGUAUGUUUUGUUUCAUUUUGUUUUGUUUUCCUGCCUUGUCUAUAGCUGGUAUAAAUCUGGAGAUAUGUUGAUUUACACCAGAUGAGAAUUUGGAAUCCUUCUCUUGCUUAUGGUUUCUGCUCUCUGCUGUAUAUAAAUCAUAUGUUGUCUAUUCUUGACCUGUUGAUGUCAAUAGUUUUCACUGCGGAUCCCUUUGGGAUCCCAUGUUGACCUGUAUUGAUUAGGAGGGAAUGCUCCGUGAUGAAAUGUGAGGAGAGGAGAACGUGCAGCUACUGUCAGAGGAGUUCCCACACUGAGCACUCCGAGGGGAAGGGAAAGUUUGAUACACUUGUUAAUGUGAAUUCAAGGUUAGCAGUAAACAGCACAGCAACUGCAUCUGUCUGUGGAAGGAUUUAAACUCACCCUUUAAUAAGAAAAAGGAGUUUCCUGCUCUGCUUUAUUGCAUCAGUUAGUGUCAUGGGCCUUUGCAUGUGCUGUAAAUUUUUCUCUAUAUUUAAGGAGCAUUUCAAGCUAUAAUUGAUUAUAGCUGAAUUUGUGUUAUAAAGUAGGGAACAAUAGGUUAAGGUAUUUACACCAUGAAACGAGUCUGAGCCCGAUUCCUAUUUAGAUCCUUUAUAGCAGAAGGGUAGUGGUUUUCUCCUCCCUCCCCUGGUAACAAGCAUUGUCUCAGCUAUUGAGUACAGUGCUGUAUUAAUAAUUCUGUACUUACUGUAGGCUCUCUGAAUGCAAAUCGUUCGCACACAAGCUAGAUUGGCAUAAGCCAGUUUGAGAAUCACAUAUACAACUUGCACUGCCCUCCACUGGGUUUGUGGGGAGUGAAAGGAGCUGGAAUCAGGAUUGCCAGGUUUUGCAAAGCGCCGAGCUGGAAACAGAAAUUCAGCUUCUCCUUUCAAGGUGAAAAGGACAGAAGAGAUUCUAGAGGUUUUGGUCUGCUUGAGGCUCUUCUUGCAGUGGUCCCUGCUUUAUUACAUGCACUUUAAAACUGCCAUAUGCUGACAUUGUUUUUUUUGUGGUCACUUUGCUAUUAGGUAUUUAAAUGAGAUCUCAGGACUGAGGUUGAGGAAAUGUGAUUUCUAAUGAUGCAGUUUUAUUUUAACUCCAUGCCUGUGUUUCUCCCUGAGUCCUGGGUGCUUAAAUAAUGUUUGAACAGAGACAGUCUGUGGCUCUGCACAGCAUCUGGCACAAAGAAAUCAUGUUCUUGGUCAGACCCUCGCACUGUUACCACACCGAACCCACCAGUGCAUGGAGGUAAGGACACAUAUCAAGAAAUGAGAUAUGAGACAACCUAAGGGUUCUCAAGCCAACACAUGUUGGGAUGUUUCAGCAGUUAAUGUGAACAGACACAAUUGGAAAUAACAGUUUGUGCUCAAGAAUUACCUUAUGACUUUCUAAGGGAUUAUCCUUUGUAUGAUAGAAGGAUAAAGUGAACAUGCUUCUCUUCCGAGGUUUCAUUUUAAAGCUACUACACAGCAUGGGAAAAAUAUAUACAUGAAUCUGUGUGUGCAUUAGAUACACAUACAUAAGAGAACUUUUUUCUUUCAGUAUGUUCUCAAGAUUCAUGAAGCAAAUGAAUUAUGACAGAGAGAAACUCUCAGGUCUCUUUGUGUCGGGGAGAACCAAACCACCACUGCAGGGAACAAAGGUGCCCCUCUAUCAGUCCUCUGCAGACAGCCCUAGAACUGGAGCAGCCCAGAGUAAUGGUGCAGAGAAGUUGGUACGAUAACAAAGCAAAGCAAAGUAUAACAGGAUGACAGCGCAAGGCAGCAAAAAUAGGUGGCUUUUGUAUGACUAUAAUAGCACCACCUGCUUUCAGAAUGUUAGUCAUCCCGUAAAUGUGUCCAUUCCAGUGAAUAUCCUUGAGGGAGCUGACACAGAAAUCCAUAGAAACGAGGCACGAAUCUGAGCAGAGACAGGGGAGAAGUGCAGAGACUCGCCAGGCUGAAAGCAGCGACUGGUGGGGGGAAAGCGAGCAGCCUGAAAUGUGUGCUUGUGUGUGGGUGUGUAUGGGGUAGCUGAGGAGAAGUACGUAUGUUUCUCAGAGGGAAGAAUUUGCUUCCUUCCCAACACACCUCAGCUCCUGCUGCUUUCUUUGAUUUUCCUCUAGUGGGGCCAACGUAGGCACUCAGUGAUGAUAAACAACCUGGUAUUGCAGGGUGACACGCACAGUGACACGGGAAUAUGGAGAGAAAGAAAAGAACCCAAAAGGACAGAGUUUGUGUGAUAUAUUUACGUCCCAUGUGUGCUGUGCAGUGCAGGAACCUUGGGAACCUCAUCCCAGAAGUCCUGCUGCUGCAUAGUGGGGAGAAUGCCAAACCCCCCAGCCUUGCUAGCUGAAACAGCUCCCUGAGAAACACAUCCUUUUCCUGAUGAGCUGUGUUUGCAGCAAUCCUGGUAGGAGGUUUAAAUCUUGUUUGAUCAGGGCAUUUGGGGUCUUUCUGUUUGGUAUGUAUGUAUGGUUUUGUCUUUCAGGAUAGCUGUGUUCAUCUGUGAGUUCAGUCGCUGAGUCUGCCUGGCUUUGGGCAAGUCACGUAGUCUUCUUCUUGCAUCUCACGAUUAGCAGGCUUUCAACUUUGUGAUCAUAACAGGUUUGGUUUUUGUUGUUGUUGUUUUUCUAACAUUGCAUUUGUGUGUGCAACUUCCUGAAUUUUGCCUAAGCAAACUGAGAGCAGAAGUGAUGUUGUGCUGACACGCACAGUGCACCAGCAGGGCCGUACCUUCAGCUCCAUUGCACAUGGUGCUGCUAACAGAAUAGCACGCUGUCGUUCUUUGCUGGACCAAUGUAAGGAAGGAAAAAAGGUACAUUUUGCCAGAGGGAUUCCUGACCACUUACUCAUUAUGAGGAAUCUGAAUUCUGUUUGUGACUCUGUGAAGAGCUCGCAGACUUGGUGCUUUGCUCUGCCUGUCCUUUCCUCCGGCAGCCUUCUUGAAUGAAAACACAGGACAGGAGGAGGAAUGACGUUGUCUAGACAAUGACACAGGGCUAGGACACAGUCUGGUGAGAUAAAAGGAGAAGGGAACAGGCACACAGAGCAAAGUGAUUUGCCUAAAUCUGCACAACCAGAUCUCCUGACUCCUUCACUCUCCCUCCUGUGGCUUCUCUUUAGGAGAUGAAGUUGAUUGAUUGAAAUUGCCCUUUUUACUGAUUACCAUUUUAAUAAUCUGCCCAGUAAUGUCAGAAAUCCUGCAUGAGAGAUGUUGGUGGUUUUUUUUUGGUGCAAUCUGUUUGUCACUUGCAUUUCUUUCAGGUAGGAAUCAAAAUCAGACCAGUUGUGUUCUCUUUAUAUUUGAGUUAUCCAGGCAUAGCACGGUGCUACUGCUGCAGCUGCAUUCUCACAUGACAGGGGAAUAUUCUUAUUACAAGGAAGUGAAAAUUAAAAACAAAAACACCUCCCCUCCCAAAAUAAAUCUACCUGCAAAAAGAAACCAUGAACUCUUGGGUCUUGGGAAAAUCUCUUUGUGUAUCCAUGUACGCUUCAUCUCCUUGGCAAUGGCCAUUUUGUGUAACAUCCCUGCUUUUUCAGUGUGGGAUGGACGCUACUGUUGUCUUCUUCUUUGCCAAUUCUAUUUCCUCACAAACCCCUUUGCCUGUUUUCAGUCACUUCUUAUGCCUUUUUUGACCACAGAAUCUCUAAGGAGAAGAUGGCCCUUAGUGCUGACAGGGAGUCUUUGUCUUGGAGUCUUCCCUGACCACCCUGCUCCUUCAGGUUUUAAAUAGGUGAAUAAUAACCCAGCUCCAUGCCCUGGGGUUCUGAUUCUUGAUGGGUUUUCCCACAUGCUGUCAGGCUGCAAAUAAAUAAUACUUGCGAGAAAAAGAGACUGAAGUCAUCUUGGCUUCUUCCACUGAGAGCCAAAUGGUGCAGCGGCCGCAAUGCAAGAAGAAAGGAUAUUCCUGCUCCCCACUCAUUUGGCUGACAGCGUAAUCACUCGAAGUAAUAAAUCUUCACUAGCAACUAAUGGAAAUGCAAGUGGAAUGAGAGUGCUAUCAGAGGAGAAGCUGUGAGGGAGCUUCUGCCAUUGUGGAAGAGAAAAAGGGCCACAAGCUCUCCUUGCUGCUGGGUCCAAAAUGGAUUCCAGUGACCACAUCCAUCUCACAGCUCAGCCCUGGCCCUCCCCCCACUCCUUACCUGUGGCCUCUGUGCCCACAGCUGUGGGGCUGAGGAGCAGGGGUUGUGUGCUGGCCCUGUAGUGGCCUUAAUACGCACCUGAGCAGCAUGACGUGGGGCCAGCAAUAAAUGGCAGAGAUCUGGAGCAGCAAGCUGCCUGCUGUGCUCGCUCCUUAACCCUUUGGGAGCAAGCACUUCCCACAGCUUCAUGAGCAAACAAGGACAAAAAAAGCAAGCAUGGAGCUGAAACAUUUUAUUUCCCCUACCGGGCCUGCCAAUUAACCCUGUCAGGAGUUAGAAAACCACACUGGGCGCAUCAACAGAAAAUGAGCUGAGGAGGGAGAGUGUUUGAGGGAAGGCAGUGCAGAGACCUAAUCAGCUCCCUAUCUCUUGGAAGAGCUGAGCCGUAGCACAGGGACAGCAGGAGUGAGUUUGCAAACACCGUGCUUCAGAAACCGCUGCAGGGUAAAACAGCCUGAGAAGGCCAAAUCCUGAUGGGGGUCUGUCUCUAAGCUGUCUGGCUGCUCUGUGUCUGUCCCUUUGCAAAUGUCACCACCAGCAUCUGGUUGCUGUAUUGUCUGUGAUGACUUCGUGAUGGGCUUGAGGCUUUAAAGAAGGCUGGAGGGGAGAAGGAGGCAGCCAAGACCUCUGCUUGGAGCAUAAGUCUUAUGAGAAGUGGCUGAGGGAACUGGGAUUGUUCAGUCUGGAGAAGGGGAGGCUCAGAGAAGACCUUAUCUCUCUCUAAAAGGCCCUGAAAGGAGGUCGUGGUGAGGUGGGUGUUCACCUUUCCUGCUAGGUAACUGUGAUAGGAUAAGAGGUAAUUGCCUCAAGUUGCACAAGGGGAGGUUCAAGUUGGAUAUUAGGAAAAAUCUCUUUGCCAAGAGUGGUCAGACAUUGGCACAGACUGCUCAGUGAGGUGGUGGAAUCACUGUCCCUGGAAGUGUUCAAGAAUCAUGGAUAUAUGGUACUUAGGGAUGUGGUUUAGUGGGCAAUAUCAGUGGCAGGUAGAUGGCUGGACUGAAUCAUCUUAGAGGUCUUUUCCAACCUGAAUGGUUCUGUGAUUCUGUCUGGGGGUCUGCCUGCCCAGGACUUAUCCUGUUGGCAUUGGCACUUGGUUCUGCUUAUGUUUUCUGUGGCAUUACAUGAGCUGUUUGCCUCUUCCUUUGCUCCAGAUAGUGGAAAGUUUGAGUUGGGCUGAAAAUAGGAGCAACUGGGUGAGUUGGGUGAAGCAUGGUACACACAGGAUGUAUUUUGAGUGUCUCCCUUUAAAGAUUAUGAAGAGGCAGUGAACAGAGCAGAGCCUUGUGCUCAGUCUCAUCCAGAUGGUGGUUUGGUCUGUUUGCUUUGAGGAUGGUGGAGAACUGACCAGACAUCAAUUUGGCACCUUGGGUACAGCCUUCUCCUCCCUGGCCUCCCAAUGCACUAUUCACACGUCCCUGGACCCUAACCCUCUUCCUGCUCACUGCUUUUCUGGUUCCUCUCGGAUACUUGUGGGCUGUAAGGGCUGACAGUGCUUUCUCUGCCUUAGCAGAAAAAUAAUAGCAUAGAGGAAUAGUACAGAUAGGGGGAAAAAAGGCCUGUUUUGAAGUUGAGCUGUACAGAGUUAAUAUUCUGACUCUCAGGCCAUGAAAUCAAUCUUCCAGGUGAAUUUGUGAUCUUUCAAAUUCAUUUUGGGCAUGAUGCACAUCUCAAAUGGAACUGGCUGCAGAUUUUGACGUCAGUAAGUGCUUUCUUCCCUUCAAAAGAGCACAGCCUGGAUUUCAUCUUGUUUUUACACCUUCACUUCUCCUUGUAAGGCUCAUUGUCACCACCAGGUCUGGUGUCAUCCAACUGCGGCAGUGAGACCAACACUCUGUGCUGCAGAAAAUCCCAGAGCACAACACUCAGCAGCUGCCAAAGCUUUCUGCUGGCACCUGCUCAAGGCAAGAGAGAGAGAAAUAUCACUUUGUCUGCCUCCCUUCAUUGCUGCCCACCAGGAAACCAAUAUAGACAGCACUUUGCUCGUUUGCUUGAGAGACGUGCAGGUUAGAUGAGCAAGGCAGACACCUUCAGCCUUUUUAGCCUUUUGUAUAAUGCAUGUUCCCUUUGUCCCAUUCCACUUUUACUUGUAGCAUUCCUGCUGCCCCAUCUUACCGCUCUCUAAGAAGCCGACAGGGAUUAGCAUUUUGCUGUGCUUUUCUCCUGUGUUUUCCCACCUGCCUUUAAAUUGUGUGAGUCUAAUUGUUUUGGGCACUAAAGCUGAUGAUGGUUGCCUUUGGGCAAGCAACGAAGGGAUACUUUUAGCAAGGCAGUUUUGAGGAAGAUCAGGUGUUUCUGAUGGUUGUUGGGACAAGUUUCCUCUCAUCUCCCUCCUCCCCCUGCCUUGAUUCCCUUCUGACUCAUGGGCAGCUGCUGACACCCUGUCUCUCUGUGUAAAUUGGGUUGAUAAUAAAUAUAUUAAAUCCCUUCCUCAUGGAAGAAACCCUGCAAGUCAAGAAGGUCAGCUUCUUGUCAACUGUCUUCUUUUUCACCUGCUGGCUCUCUUGUCUCAUUCUGUCAUUGCUUGCCCCAUGUUCUCCCUUGAUCCACGUGCAUGUUUCCAAGAUCUGUUUCUGAGAUUUCCAAGAUCUGUUCUCUUAAACGCUGCUGAGCUCGUACUAUUCUUUAUAUAUGACAUCAAGGAGUUACACAGGUGAUCAGUGCAUACAGGGAACCCUGUGUGCUGAGCAGGGCCUCCACAUGAGAUCAGGGCUCGCCUGGUCUGGUCCCUCUAGGGCAAUGCUGAGCACUUUGACAGAACUUCUGCUUGACUGAAAACUUACAAAACUGAAUGGGAGAGGUGUAGCUUCAUCACCCCAAAAUAGCUUUAAUAUGCAUAGAUAUUGUAUGAAGAAAUAUUUUGUUAUACAUAAAUUGAGUUAUAUUAGGUAAAAGAUGCUUUCCUCCCAGGAAAAGUGGUAGAGAUGGUAUUGAAAUAGGGGAAAAGCAUACUCAUCCUCUGCAGAGAAUGUAGCUGCACUGAGCAGCUGGUGUGCAGCAGAAAACCAAACAAGGCAACAAACCAACCCAAGCUUGUUUUCAUGUCCCGCUAGCACAAGAUGAACAAAAACAUAAUAUAAGGAAUUGUGAUUCAAUAGAUGAGAGUGAACGAGUUAAAACAAAAAUAACAAAAAUCUUCCUGGUGCUAUUUGUAGCACAGACCGUAAUAGAUGGAGGUUAUUUCUAUUUCCAAAUCAGUGUUCUUUAGAGACAGCCGGGUUUAUAAGGAGAGGCUGGAAUUUUUAAAAACACAUUUUCUAUGCGUCGGAACAGUUCAUGUGAGGCUCAAGACUUGACUUGUCUGACCUCAGGCAAGGCUAUGCACUUUGAUAAAGCUUUUAGUGACGAUCGAGUUUGACUGAAUAGUACUAAAACUGAAGCAAACUGGGAAACAUAGGGCAGAGAACAGUGAAGCAUCCACCCAAUUUUUGCAAUCAGGUCAUCAAGGACUUCCUGUUCCAGAGGCAGCAUCAGGUCAUCAUUUUUAAUAGCCACUGAUCUCUUCGUUGUUCCCAAUUCAAUAUCUAAAUGUUACUUACAGCAGUGACUCAAAGAUUAGGAAUCUGCAAAGAACACAAAAAUGCAAGAAGAUACAAUAGCUUGAAAGGAAAUAAGAAGAUACUUUUUCUAAGCUUGUUCUAUAAAAGAGGUAAGAAAUUAAUUUACAAGCAGCGAACAAAGCACUUUUUCUUGGGCAGUCAAGACUUGACCUUCGAUGGAAUCUGAACACAAGAGGGUUCCUCCAGUCCUUCCUCCAGUCCCACUCUGGUAAUGUAGCACAGCCCCACUCUACUGGAGAUGAAUGGAGCUGAUGCAGGUACUGUGAUCUCUCUGAUGUUAUGGCACAGGGCAAAUGGCCCCAGUGCUUGGCUAAGCUUUGUAGGGGUGUUUUACAGGUGCUGUGUGCUUUGCAGCAGAGGAAUGCACAUCCCCUUGUGACUAAACAUGUGACACCAGGUCAGGAAAACAAUGAGUUUGACCGGCUGAAGAGUAGAAAUCUCAGAGAGUGGAAGGAGGGAUUUUGUACUGUCCUGCAGAUUCUGUGGUCUGGAAGUCAGCUUAGGGCAGGCAUAUGGCAGAAUUUGGAGAAGUGUGACCACAUCUUUGCGGAUGUGUGAAGAUAAGGAGUAGAGUAACAGAGCUGGGGAUGGCGUUUGUCAGGAUUCAGGCUAUACCAAUGCUUCAGUCUUUACCAGGGUGUUCCUGCUUAGCAUACAGAUCACUUCUGUCACCUCCUGGAGCUCUCUCCAUGUGCUGCGCAGGGAGUAAAGAAAUGGAUCCCAACCCUUGUGUUCUACCUGGGCCUUGGACACCAAAAGGUAGGUUGGUGUCUUUCUCAUUGUUUCCUGAGCCCUUUAGGGAAUUUGACUCUUUACAUCCUCUUGCAGCUGUGUUUCUUUCAUGGGCGCAGAAUUAACUCAGUUACACUUUUAAUUAUUGGGCUUUUAGUUCAAGUUUGCAAAGUGUUGUCUAAAGGAUUGCAUCCAGUUGGAGCCAUCUGGAAGGGACAGGUUAGAGAGAAUCAGCUGCCUCUGAAAAAAACACCCAGAAAAACAUUUAAAGAAUCUUGAUGUGUAAUUACAGUGUGAAACAACAAAACCCCAGCUUAACCAACACCUCUGCAGCUUUGUGCCAUGGCCCUGGGGAGAUCCUUCUCUCAGGGGGGCUUAGUAAGUCGGCUUCUGAGCAGGCAAGAGGAGUGAGACAUGGUGGAAAGCUGAUGGAUUUGGUCUCCAGGGCAGGAGUGGUUGGUUGGUGAUGGUAUUUUUUUUUAAUGACUUUUCAGUCUCCAUCUGUCAGCAGUUUCAUGUGCUGACACUGACGACUGCGUUAGAGGAAGCAGCACCUCUUGGCUUGGUGGCAGCCUGCUAGUGGGAGGGCAGAGGACAGGGCUGUAUGUGUGAGUGUAUCUCUAGGGGAGGCUGGAAGCCAUACAGAAAUGAAAUGGAGCCAGGUUCAGAUGUCUGCAGCCUAACCACUUCCAAAGCAGAAUAAACAACACAAUAUUUCAGCUUUUCACCAUGAACAAUAAUCAGCUUUCUGUUUUCAAACAAUUUUCUACGAACAGCACAAAUACAGGAAGGACAUCAAAACUGUUCUGCAAAUGCUGAGCUUACAUGGAGAAUCAUUUUGCAAAAUGCUUUUAUAGCAGUGAUUUCUUCCAUCUUUCUUAAGUUUCAAAGUUGAGUGGCCAGGGUGUACUUGAUGCUUCUGACAGCCAACUAGCAAUGUGUCAAGAGUCAUGAGUGAAGGGUUGCAUUUGUUUGGUCAGCUCUUGAUUGCUCUGACCCACCUAACCACUUGUGAUCCUAAAGGAAGUUCCUUUAAUAACAUUGUUGUAAUUUAGAGAUGUAAUUGUUUCUGCCUUAAGCAGACGAUCCCAAAGUCACACAGACCAUGCAUAACCACGCAUGCCAAGGUCGCACAGGAACUCAGAACCAGAACCCUGAACAAUUUUCCAUCUCAGCCUCUGUUGUUUAAAUGCUAAUUCACCUGUCCCCGUGGUGUUCCUCAGGGCUCAACCCUCGUGGAUGUUGAAGACCUUGUUCCUGACACUUGGUGUUUUGGGUGAAUGCAUCAUCUACAAUUCACAGAGUAAGAAAGGACAGAUAGUGUCUGAAAGAUCCUCUGCUGUUUGUCUGGAGGAGUCUCUUGUGUAGAAUUUUGAAAAUGGUGACUGCAGUACAUUCAUUUUUAACCAAAAUGGUGCUACAUCCAAAAUCCAAGGAACAUGUUCAAUAUGAACAUUCGCAACCCUGGCUUUCUCCUGAGAAGAAUAUGCGUUCCUCCUAAUUAAGGCUGGCUGUCUAUCCAGCUAUUCCCACUGCUGGCUGCCAGCAAUAGUGCCCAUUGUAGUGUGGGUGGAAAAUAUGCAGUUUUCAAAUCUCAUUUAUUCUGUAUAGUCUUACAUUCUCUCAUGAACAGGCUGCUCGUUCUCAGUGGAAAGGAAAAAAAAGCGAACAAGCCAAACUGCUCCAGCAGCAGUGUGGUCUCAGCCUACACACAUAGAUAAGACAAGGGGACAUUUGCCUCCGCGUCUCUUUUCCUCUGCCAUGUCUGGCUCCCAUAACUUGCUCUGUUUUUUCUAAUAGUUUCCCUGCCCAAAGUUGUCCCUCCACAUGUGAUUUUAUGGAUUAUUGGACUGUACGGGUUAUCUGAGGAUUUAUUUUCCCAGGCUGGUACUCUUAAAUGAGUGUGAACUAUCUGAUAUGGGGAUUAAACACAUGAAAUGUAAAGGCUGUCAUGGGGCAUCCCAUCCUGGCCCAUAACGUUGUCUGUAUACAUAAAGAUUCUUAGCAAUUCAUUUCACAGUGGCCCCUUCAAACCAUAAUCGUUGAUUCAAAUUAAUGAUCUAAGGAGGAGUGUCACUUGCAUGUCCUAAGGCUAGUCGGUCCCAGCAAGAAAAAAAAGCAAACCCUCUGAACAGCAGUUAGCAGAUCUAUGUUUCUUACUGUCUCUUGGUGGGAGAAUGUGAUUAUGUGGUGAGCAGGAAGGUUCAGAACACUCAGAUUUGAAAUUUCAAGUGAUUGAUCAUUACUCUAAAUGCCUGGUUGAGUCUUAUGUCUAAUUGGUAUUUUGAAACACUACUUAUUUUUUCCUCUAAGCCUUAAUGUGCUAGAAGGACUUGUCAGAGGUUCCUGCUUAGACAGACUCAAAGGAUGGCCUGCACUCGCAGCUGAUUUGACUGAUACAUGGGGCAUCAACCUUGCUAACAGAUGAGAUUCUAAUAAAAGCAGAUCCUUCACUAAGAACCCAUUUUUUUUUCUCUAGUGCUUUACACCAGUGCAUUGGAUAUUGUUGGGAUAUUGCUGUUUUCUGGUAAGGCAGAUGACAAAAGCUGUGUCAUAACCUUAGCUCUGAUUAGAAAUGGACACACACUUCCAGGAAUAGUGACAGAAGCUGUAGACUGGGAAUAAUCAAUAAUUGCUCUUUUGGCAAAUAGAUGACCCUGUGGGCUCACAGAAAAGAUUUAUGGAAGGCAAUGGGUUUUUCUUAUGAAAAAGAACAAUAAGGGAUAAAAUGUCUGUUCCAGAACUGUCGUCAGUAUAUAACAGUGGCUGAUUUAAACUGAAAUUCUGUUCCUUCCUUGUGGUAUAUUCGCAUUGAAUGUGAUGAAAAGGCAGGCUAAAAUUGCUGUGAAAAGAGUACGCAUGCACCACAUCAAACAAUGGGUUCAGUGAUGCUGUGACAGCUGCCAGUGUGUCUCUUUGUACGAGAUGUGUAGGCACAUCAACUGGUUAGUGAGUGAAGAUUAGCACAGAGAGCAUAAAGGGAGGAAUAGAUAUUAGGGAUGUGGUAGCAGAGGAGCCAUUGUGAUGGCUCAAGUUUUAGACCUUCCUUUGGCUUUGAGCUGACUGUGGAAAGGAAAAACUCAUAGCACAUCUCUGAAAAUGCUCAACAAGGUCUUUGCUAGAAGUGGUGUGGUCAGAAGAGAAAGGAAGUUUCCAGUAUUUGUUUGGUGUUGGAUUCAGAAGUUGGACCAUCUUAGCAGAUACAGGUGAGCAGGGGGAACCAUCUAGUGCUAUUCCCCAACAGGAAAUGUUAGACAGACCAUUCACAGAGAACACUGAAAUGCUGCAACUUUUGGACCACAAAAUGUGGAUGACUUAAAUACACUGAAGUACUGAAAACAGGUGAAAAUGUCCAAACCCAAGGCUUGUAAAAUGUGAGUGAAUAUUCACUGCCACUUGUUUGCAUUGCUCUCUGAUCUCUGUGAAGAAAUUCUUUAAAUUCCAUUUGGAGAAACUCUGGUGGUGUGAAUAGCGGUGCUUUAAUUUACAUUGCUUUAGCUCCCAAGAAGCUCCAUUUCCAAUAGUGAUUUGAACUCCGAAUCCUGGCCUGAUUGAUCUUGUCUCACCUGACAAGUCACAGUUGCCAUUGUCUUAAUGCCUGAAUUGGAGCCCAAAAAUGUACAUAUUUGUACAGGGAUAUGACUUGCCAUUCUACUAAAUGAAGCAAUGCAAAUAAUAAUAGUUUUCACUGAAGUAGCUUUAUAGCCAUCUCUGAUUUCAGCCUCAUGCUGGGUAUGUGCAGAGUGCUGCUAGGAUGUGUUAUUGUUUGGUUCACGUUGAAAGACUCUGACGUUCCUGUGUCAAUUGGAGCCCCAUCGUGCUACGGACAUCAGUAGUGCUCAGGAAUGAAGUUGGAGAAACAGCACAAACAAAGGGAGAAAGAAAAAGGUCUGAUGCUUUGACUUACAAGGUUAGAGAACUGAACACACACAAAAAACUAUUUGUCAGUGGGAUCGUAUGCCCUCUCACAAGUUGGGUCCUAUAUGUCAGGUCACAGUGGGACCUCCUUUCACAGCAGUGGUGAGGCUGACGUGACAGAGAGUAAAACAAGCUCUCCUGUUCCGUGACCCUGUACGCUCCCUGAUGGGUAAGACCACAGUGAAACUUUGUGAGUACAUCAGGUGUGAGCCCAACUGACCCUAAUUUCAACUGGGUUUGUACAAAAAUGAUUGAUUAUGUCUUCAUCACUCUUUCUUUCAUCACUGGCAUACACAUAGAAAAUCAGAUAUCAAAUAGGUUGCCCAGAGAGGUGGUGGAUGCUCCAUCCCUGACGGCAUCCAGGACCAGGCUGAACCAGCCUCUUAGCACCUGAUGGAGUUGUAGGCAUUCCUGUUCACUGCAGGGGAGUUGAACUAGAUGGCCUUUAAGGGUCCCUUCCAACUCAAAUGAUUCUAGGGAACACCUAGCAGAGAUCACCAGUUUAGUUAGCUGAGUCUGCUGUGUGCUGGUGAAUGAGCUGGGAUGGGAUGACCAAGUGCGUGGGUUCUACUGCAUCUCAGGUAUGUGUGCAGCCCCUCUGGGAGCCAGGCCCUGCAUGGUCCCUGGAUGGUGCCUGAUGGUGUCAGGAACCAAACCCAAUUCACUUGGGUGACCCAGGUUACUGCCAUGUACCAAGAAGUGAAAAAGAAAUGUGUUCUUAUCUAUUUGUUCACACCACUAUAAUCCAAAACAUAUUUAGCAUGUGUACAACUUGAAAUAGUAAUUCUCCUCCAUGCAGGAGUGUAUCGAUUUGCAGAGAAGGAAUGGCACUGUCGGAAUAUGGAGCUUUUAUCCCACAGACUUAUUUUCUGCAAGAUGUCAGGCUGUAUAAUCCCGUACAGCUCUCAGCCUGGUUGCCAUUGGAGGGAGCUGACAGUUUUUCAGCAGUUUUUCGAGCUCUACCAUCCCCCAUGAGCAUUUGUUCUCUCUCUGUGUGUAGGUGGAUUGAUUGCUAGGUAGCUCAGUAAAUAGGUUGGGAAAAUAAUACUUAAUUGACUUGAUAUUACAGGUGACUUGAAGGAGUUGGGAAAACAAUGUCGAUUAAACAGCAAGCAUAUAUGUAUGUCUGUGGUUAAUGUUUUUAAGUGCUUUUGGAAGUGGAAAUCUCCUAUCAUUUCAAAUGCUGUUCAGCUCUGGAGUGUUUUUAUUUGUUUGCGUGUGUAUGUAAGUGGUAAACAGAGCUAAAGCUGUAGUUUAAUCAAUGGCUUCUUCAUAAGCCUCAUUCAGAACAGGGCCCAGCUCAGCAGAUGUUGAUGGCUGAAUUUCUAUGAUGUAAAGACCUCUGUCAGAUAUUACCUGUGAUUCUGGAUCUCCUGAGUGCUCAGAUUUCGGCAUGCAACAGCUCAUAGAUGAAUACAGCAAAGUACACCCUUUAAUACUAGCUGUGCUUUGAAUCAUUUCAUGUGGUUGAAUAUUGCAUGAGAAAACUCCUGCAAAUAUGCGGGAUAUCUUAAUACUGUAUUUUCUUGGAACUGCUUGGGUUGAAGUAGAACUUUGUAAUCCAAAUAAUAUGGCAGCUUGAGUGUCCACAAAACAUCUGUCAUUGGCUUCUUACUAAGUGUGUAUUUGUGUAAAUUUAGCAUCCAUGACGUCUCAUAAUAGACCAAGAUCCCACUGUGCUAACUGUUGUAUGAACGCAGAGCAAAGUCUGUAUCCUGCGGAGUCUGCAGUCCAAGUCUCCAUUAGCAGUAGCAAAGAUGCCUCUACUGGUGACAGCAAAGUACACUCAUUUGUUUUGAGAACAGUUUGUGCUCCAAUGUUAGCUCCUAGGUCUGGUUAAUAAAUCACAGGUAAACGCAUACUGAUUUAUUUAUCAGUAUUUACCAAAUACUCUGAGCAAAAACCUACCGCCAUACAGACUGUACAGAGCUGCUCACAGUUGAUUCUUUGUUGGGUAAUGGAGCAAAAUAGUCAUAUGAUAUGGUAUCUGUUCUCCCAUCUGCCCAGUUUCAGUUCCAUUACAGAUUUGUAGGCAGAAUAAUCAGGCUUUUUGCUGUUCUUAAUUGCUUGAAAUACAAUGCUGCUCAAGGUUCCAGAGGAAACAAGCCCUGCUGAGUGAUGUGAGACACAAGCACUAACAGAAAGCCCAUCCUGGCUGAGAAGGCUGUAAAAUUUAGAUGGACAAAUGUAUUAUAGAAGAAGAAAAAGGCAUGUGCAAGCUGAGAUAGCAAAUUAAUUGCAGAGCAGAGAACAGAACUUACAUCUUGUGCCUGCCAAGCCAGUGCCACUUCCUCCCAGCCACAGUCUGGAAUUUGAAAUCUCCACUGCAGCAUUCAGGAUCACACUGGCCCCAUACAUUAUAGAGAAAAACAAAACAACAUCACAGCAAACGAGCAAAAAAUAACCUGAAACUUGCAAUUGAGAACAUAAUGGCUAGACAUAUUUUUUAAUAUAGAAUUCAGACAGUUCUAUCUGGUAAUUCAAUUAGUGAAGGAAGCAUUGAAAAAUAAGAACUCCUUUGAUAGUUCUCCCAUUACAACUCACUAAGAACCCAAAUCCUUGUGAUGUUAAAAGUGUAGUCUCACAGUGACAGUGAGGUCUUUUCAUGAGGCUUUAGGAGGAAGUAAAGACCUGCCAUAAGAACAAAUCCAUCUCUAGGCCCACCAAAUAUUAUUCAUGCAUAGUUGUAUGCAGGUCCAGCUUAAAUAAGGUAUACUUUUGGGAUGCUUAUGUGACUAAUCAGUGUUUUUCAUAUCAUCUGGAUUUUUCUCAUUUGAAAGGCCACAGCAGAUUUUUUACAAGUGCUUCUAUUCUUUUUUUUUUAAGAUCAAAAUACCAAGUGGUAUUUUCACAGCAUACUACACAGUGAUGUGAUGCAUUUGUCCAUUGCUUGUUAAAUGGUCAAGUUUCAAGCUGGCCUCAAGUUAUCCCACUUGGUCCUCAGUGUAAAUCAACACUGCAAUGAGUUACUCUCAUAAUGAUAAAAAAAAAAGUCCUUGCUUCUGAGGCUUAUCUGGGAGAAAAGAAGAAAGUAUUGGUUCUGAAAUUGCCUGGUUACAAUCAGAUUGAGUGAAAAUUGGAAUAUAAUAAAUACCUGAAAUUACAUCUUCUUUGCUUCCUUUUAUGUAUGCUGCUAGCUAGUCGACACACUGUAUUUGCUGGGUUCUUUUCCUGUGUCUGUCGUUCCAGUGAUACAUCAGAGAGACGAGGACAGGGAAAUUUUUGGCUUCUAUGUGGUAUGAUGCCAAAGCUGCAGAAAUAGCACAAGAAGUGUUUCCCUGAGCGCAUACAAUAAGCAGUAAAAACAAAUACCAGACACGGUGGCUCCAAGGACCAUUGACUCUGUUUAUCCCAAGGGUAAUCUAAAGGUUUUAUGGGGUCCACAAUAGCUGUGUAACAUCCAUUUGUUGCUCUUUUUAAUACUGCAGAGUCAGAGUCAAGAGUCAGAGUGGCAAAAAAUAGCUAAAAAGUCCACCUGUACUCACCUGGCAGUGGGACACUAAAAGAGUUGCCACUCCAGGAGUUGCCAUGAAUCCAGAAUGUUGAAUGGAGUCCAUCCUUUCACUUCUUCAGACCUCUCCACUAAGCACUUCUGACCACAGGACCAGGUCUGUGCUUGCCGGAGUGACUGUCUUCCUGCCUUCCGCUUUCUCGAAGGAUAUGAAAGUAAUUCUGUCCUUUUAUAUUUAUCUAUUUAUUUUAAAUCUAUAUGUUCCUAUUUUGUAUGAUAUAUAAUACUAAGGCCUAAUGUUAGCAUUUGGUCAUUCCAGUAGCUAUCUCACUUAGCCAAACAGUGAUGUGGAUAAAAAGGUCUUUUAUAUCCCUGAAUUUCUUGUGUAGACCUAUUGUGCUUUAUUCCUCUCUUGGACUUUUUAUAGUGUUACUGUAUGUUGCUAAGCAGUUACUCCUGUUUUAAGAGGUGGCUCCUUGUUAGGGGUAAGUAAAGGUCUAGAAUAUGCAGGAUUCUUUGGGGAAGGAAACGCUAGUGCUCUUAAGUAAGAUUAUACCAAUUCAGAUUACUGGAGGUAAAAGGGGUUGUACAGUGUGAGGAAGGUAUGGAAUUUCAGAGCAUGCUGUGAAAUUUAGAGGCGUCACUAAUUAAAAGGAAAACAUGUCUAAAUCCCCAUGCCAAAUCCCAUAAACUCUGUUGCAGAGCUAUUGACAGACUUGCUUUAGGCCCAAAGAUAGCGGUAUCUGAAUGAAACCUAGAUCACUCUAAACACUGAAUUUCUAUCAGUGUAAUUAUGUUGGAUACAAUUUUGUAUGGUUGUUGUUUGUUUGUUUGUUUUUUAACUUAUUUUGGUUUUUAUUUAGCUGUUUCUCUAGAAACACUUGAUAGGCACUGUUCACCUUUGACAUUUCUUAAUCCUUUAAGGAUAGGUUUCUGUCCAAGACCAGUAGCAGAUGCGUCCCCAAGGUUCUGUUAUUCAUUUACUAUGAUCAUUUAUUCUGGGUUAUACAUUCAUUUGUGUCAAAACUUACACCGGGCUUUGUUUUUUAUCUGUUUAUUUGCCAUUUUGCUAUGAGCAGAAAAUAUUGAGCAAGAGGUGCUGCUUCUCUCCCCUGGCUUCACAGUUCUUUGUGCACAGUAGGUGCAGGCAAGCAGGAGUGUGAGUAGCGAGAGAGCUUCUGACCACAUUUUUCCAUUGGGCACGGUCCACGGUUGUGCUUUUCUUCCCUGUGAUUAGAAAUAAUUACUGCUGCUUCCACUAUUGUGCAUCAGAGAGAAGAAAGCUGAAGGUAUGUGCCCAUGUAGGUUGAAACAAAAUGAGAAAAUGGAGAAAAGAGGACAGAACUGCUUUUUGAGGCCAAUGGAUGUUGAGUUAAUAGUUGUGCUACUUGCUAAAGAAGUAUUUGUCUAUUCUGUUCGUACCCGCUCCCACCCCAAUCAAUAACAAAUCAACCCAACAGACUCCUGAGACAUAUAGUGUGCAUAUAGAAUGGAGAUAAAAGCAAGUAAGAAACCGCAUUUGCACAGAAAGUAAAUGUUUUUGCAUAGGAAGAUUUUGAUAUGUUUGUAAAUACGGACCCAUUGGCUUUAUUUCUUUCUUUAUUUUCUUUGUAUUUUUAUUUUUGGUGUGUAAUAGAUUUUAUUUUUUCGUAGAUUGCUUCAGCAUGCUAUGCAAUGCAUUGCCACUUUUCUCCCAGUGAGCUGCUAUUUCCAUAUAAAAAGUAGAGUGUUUUACGGUCAAGCAUAUAUUUUUAACACCGGGGAAUUUAAACUGCACCAUGUAUUGUAGAGGCUGCUUAGUGCAAGAGCUUCCACUUGAGAAGAUCAAACAAAUUGGAGAAAUGUUCUGAAAAAAAAAAAAAAGAGAGAGAGGGAGGAUGUGAUUCAGAAAGCAAAAGCAGGAGACUAUGCACAGAAAGAAUCAGCUGUACAGAUAGAUAGAGGCAGGCAGCAAACUAGGUAUGAAAAGGUUCUGGGAACUGUGAUUCCACAGCAUGACCCAAAUUCUUCUCUGGGGACAGGAAACAGCAGUCUGCCUUGGAAACAGGUACUGGGAUGACCCUCUGCUUUGCUUAGUGUUAAUCAGGUCACAUCUGGGGCAGUGCCAUUAGUUCUGGGUGUGGGAUUUUUUCAAGAAUAUUUGGGUCAGGAGGAGAAGAGUUGCAGAAUCAAUUGGAGAUCUAGAAAACAGGAUUUGAGAGGAAGGGUCAAAACAACUCGUGGUCGUUUAGCAGAGGAAAAAGCAGGAUAGAGGGAGAACAUGUUACAGUCUUACUACAAAGAAGGGAGUAAUCUGUUCUCUGUGGCCAUGGUAGUUGAGAGUAGGAGUGAUGGGCUAAAACUGCAGCAAAAAGUGAGUGAGUGCAAUAGCAAGGUCAAGGGGUGCAGGAGGGUCAGGCAUACACAUGCCUGCAUUCAGAAUAAAGCAGGUGCCCAUCUGUCAGGAGCUGCUGUCUCAGCAAGCCAAGGCAGAGAAAGAAGCUAGACAACCUCAGACAGUCCUUUCCUAGAAGUCUGUAUGUUUUAGAUUUCAUUUUAAUGGGUCCAUUUGAUCUCUAGCCCCUUUGCUAGACUGCAGAUGUAGGCCCAGUGGCCAUAUGAUCACUGGUGUGACUCAGAAGCUCUGUGACAGGCAAUUUUCUUCCUUGGGUCUCCCACCCACGCCCAGCUGGAGGGCGAGCUAUCCGAUAAAAGAGCUGUGCGUCUCUGAGUGUCCGUUCCAAUCUUGUCACGGAUAGCGCUGCUCAGUCUGCUCCUAUAAACCUUCCUCAAAAGCAAAUUGGUAGAAUACAUUGAAGAUCUUCCAUGUGGAAACCUGUCAGCCUAAAGCAACAUCUUACUAUCCAGGAAGAGCCACUGUGGGACACGUAACUAUCUCUACAUUGGCUAGCAAGUGGAAAAGAUAACUACAGCCAGAUUUUGUCUGGCAACAGAUGGAUAAAGCUGACUCACUCUUUGUCCUCUUCUCUAGCCAACUCUUCAUUGCACUUUUCUCUUCUACCCUUGCUAGCAUCUGAGGUGAGGCCACAGUUAACCUGGGGAUCUAGAACCAGCAAACCCAAAAUUAGAUGUAAUGAGUGAAGAAAUAGUUUGUUAUCUUGUUUUGCAGAAAGAUUUAGCUAUCCACUGACUGGUGGAAAAAAGAUUAAAUUGGCUUGCUGGUCACUUCCAUCUAUAGAAAAUAUCUAUAGAGCAACAAUCUGUAGAUCCCCAAAUCUGUUCGUAAUUACUGAACUCCUUCAACUAUGCUUUCCUCUUAGAGCAACCUUAGCAUUAGGCUGCAGAGGAAAAAAACUCCUGUUUGUAAGUUGAUUUUCCUAUGAUUUUUCAUAGACUCACAGAACCUUUUAGGUUGGAAAAAACCUCUAAGUCUGACCCCAACCCAUCACCACCAUGGUUACUAACCAUGUCCCUCAGUGCCACAUCUCCAUGGUUCUUUAGACCCUCAAAGGACGGUGACUCCACCAUCAAAGGGAAAGCUGCUCACAAUGGAAAAUUCACCUAUGGAAAGUGUCAAAAUCUAUGAUCUCUUAAAUGUCAUCGUUAGUCCCCCUCCAUUUUUGGAGUGCUCGAUACUGAGUUUUGGAUCCUCAGACAAGUGUGGUCUGCCAAAAAGCCACAGCUGCUGAUUCCCUGCAGCACAGUUUACUCAAACUCUGCUAGUGUAGUAACCAACAAGCAUAUUUGGGCCUCUUUUUUGUUUUCUGCAUAUAUCCUGGCAUAAUUUUAUCCUUGUCUUCUUGGUUUAUAUCUGGGAUUUCUUACCUGGCUUAGAUCAUACUUUCCAGUGCUCAGGAUGGGACAGUUCAGCAUUGUGAUUCUAGUAAAAAGCCCCAGGGGAUAAUUCAGAACAGGAAAAGGAGGCCUGGGGAGUAUUUCUGUGAAGAAGUAUGGUCAGAAGCAUAUUUAGCUGCCCUGUACCCUGCAUAAUGGGAUCAGAUCAGAACCAGCAGACUGGGGAGAGAGCUGAUGGGUGAAACUCAAGCACAGCUUUGCACAACAGUCAUGGGAGGCUUCCUGUGCAGCACCUGGCCAGGCUGGGCUCUGAUGGAUUUGUGGCCCAAAUUGCUGCCUCUGUUUAUCUCUGUGAGUGUGGUACAAAUCCUGGUUAUUAAAAAUCAAGAACAGAAAAUCCAAUUCUAAAUGUAAUAUCAGUGCAGGUCCAAUUGUGAGUAGGUGAAAUAAACUAAGUUGAGACACCAAUGGACAGUUGACUGCUGCACAGUAACACAACACAAUUUAGUACAAUUUUCCACAGUUGAUAUAUGUUGAUCAAUAUAGGGCUCAGAAUUUAACAGGCAUAGAAUUUCAAUUAAACUGAAUUACAGAAGAGUACAGUCAUCACCGUGCUAGAAAAGAGGUGUUUUAGCAAAUGAAACAGACAACCCCACUUUCUGCAUGCUGUGCUGCAGCAGGCCUGUGAAUUAAAAAGUGGGCUUUAGCUUUCAAAUUUUCAUCAGCACUUAAUUCUUAACCAAACCGUAUCAUUAAGGUAAAUUGUUUUUUCUUUUCUUUUUCUUUCUCACCUUUUCUGUUACAAUUGGGGAUAUGGACUGAUUGCCUCUAAACUGACAGGCUCUUUGUUCCAGGGGUGGGCAUGCAGCAAGACAAGCCAACCCUCACCCAGGUGAUUUGAUUCCUUUUUGCUUGUGUUGGCCAGCAGCUGCAGUAUGCUCAGCCAUGCCAAUGCAGGGCUCAGCCAUGUACAUCUGCUGCAUGGUUAACCAUAUAUGCAGGAAAAACUCUCAGAUGUGCAUUUUUGAUGUUCACUGAGAGGCACCAGUGUGAAUGUGCACACUUCAAGGGCCUUCUUGUUUGUUGCUCUUCAUGCAAAUUCUGAUGACUUUAUUUCAGAAGACAUCACUUGGUGAGUAUGUAUGUCCUGGUGUCCACCUACUGUAUCACAGAAUCAUAGAAUCAUUAUGACUGGAAAAGUCAUCUAGGACCAUCCAGUCCAACCCCAACCCAUCCCCAUAGUGCCCACUAACCAUGUCCCUCAGUCUCCACUGUUCUUGAACACCUCCAGGGAUGAUAACUCUACCAUUCCCGUUGGCAGCCCAUGUCAGUACCCAACCACUCUUUUGGAAAAGCUGUUCCUAAUAUCCUACUUGAACCUGCCCUGAUGCAACUUAAAGCCAUGACCUCUCAUCAUAACCUGGGAGAAGAGGCUGACUCCCAUCAUGAAACAUUGCAGAUGCUUAUAGAGUGAGCCCAACGGCUGCCACUUAGUGCUGUUUAUAUUUGUCACAGAAAAUAGCAGCAAGGAAUCAGCUCAUCUCAGUGAAGUAGAUGAGUGGAUUUUGACUGAGGUUAAGAGGCAGAAGCAAAGCAAUAGUCACGAAUGACUAAAUUCAUAGCUCAGGAAAUUUGCAUUGUCAACAGUGUUUUCCAGCUGUGGCAGAAGUGUUUGGGGCAUGCUUCCCCUGGUUGAAUGAGAACGUAGCAUAGCACAACAGACUGCUAUUUACUGAGCUGCUGUUUAGCUCUCUCAAAGGGCGUCUCCUGGAUACCAAGAGGCUGGUCCAGGUUUCCCUGAAGAUGCAGGUGCUUUCAGCUCCCUCUAACUUGUUCUGCUGUGGAGAGCUGUUGAGUGCAGACCAUUUUUUCAGAGCACAAUGCUCUAAAAUGCAAUUGGUGUGAGACAGUUUUUGUGUUUCUGGGCUCUUCCUGGAAACAUCCAUUACCAGCCAGGCCACUAGGGUGCAGGGAAAGGCUAGUAACUGUGCAUGCAGAGCUGACCUAGUGUCUCUGAGUCUCUGCAGGUCACACUGUGCUUCAUUUGAAUGCCCCAGAGAUGGCAGGGAGAUACUGUGAAUGGUGUGACAUAUACAAGAAAUUGCUUUUAUGUCUUAUUAUGAGAAUGUUGUGCAUGCGUGUGAAUAUAGUGCUGGAUUAUCAGCCCUGAAAAAUGUGUCCUCUUAAGAGCUUAAGUAUACUGCUGUGUCUUAUCACUCAUUUGGGAGGACUAGCUUUAGAGGUGAAAAGUAAAGACCUCUCAAUAGGCUGCUGAGUGCCUUGUUUCUCUGCGAAAGUAGGGAACAAGGGUGUCAACCCUGGCAGCAGGCUUUGUCAUGUGGACACAUUUCCACUGGCAAUCAGGCCUAGGACCACCUCAACUUCAGGCAUGAAGUCACAGAGUUGGUCCUCUUCAUCUCCUUUUGGAAAGAGACCUCCUUCAUUUGCAAGUUUCUGGUGAUUUGUGGAAAGUCAGUGCAGUCUCCAGCUGCAGGUGAGCAUUCUGAAGUCCUGGUACCUCCUCUCUCUGUGUCUUGGUGUUGAUUAACAGGAAGAAUAUGCUGUUCCCUGUUCUAUGCAGGUCUGUAAGGGAUCUCACUGCUCCUGUCACGUUUAAAGCCUCCUGCAGCCUUGGAUACAGACAAUGUCACCAUUUAAAGAGCUGUGCUGUGUCUUCCCCCUCAACAGGCUCCUCCUUUUUGAAUACUCAGGGUCUGAUUCUUCUCAGUUUGAAGAUGCAGACAUUGCCUUAUCCUGAAGGGACUUACCAAAGGCUGAUGGAAGGCAACAGGAAUCCAGUGGGUCUUUGACUAAUUCAUACCCAGCCAGGGGAAGAAGGUCCCUGAAAAUCACAGUGAGUCUUGAAAUCACUGCAGUUCACUUUAUCUUUCCUCUACUCAAAAACCUCAAAGUCAGUUCUAUGCAGGUUUAUGUCACAAAGAAACUCAAUCACCGUAUUUCUCAAUUUCUUAAUUUCUCAUGUUUCUUAAUUCCUCUCAUACCGUAAUUUCUUCCUUUUAGAACAGCUCUUGUCAGGGCUACUGUGUCCUGCCUCAGAAUGCAAGCUGCACUUGAAGAGGGAAAAUGCAGCAUGCAACAGACUACUGAUGCCUAGUUAUGAUUUAUACAAUUCAUGAGCUUCCAAUAAUUUACAGACGAAAAACGCUUUAUCCACACUUUGGUGUGUUGAAACAUUCUUUCUACCAUUUAUCUUGAAACUGAUUUUGUUUGGGUAGUGGUGAAUGUUAUGCACAAAGCUGUGAGUGGAAUCUCUAAUGGGGACUGUUAGGCGUGAAGCAAUGGCUGAGCUGUGGUGGACCAAGAGGAUCCCCAAAAAGUUCCCCCCAUGUUUCUCCAGUGUAUUUUGAAGGGUUUAAUUUAUAUUGGAACUGUGUUGUUCUUGCGAUUCCAAUCAAACUGAUAACAAAAGCAUUUAACACUUAGUUUUCUUGCUGUUUUCCCCUUUGAGAAUCUCAGUGAUUGGAGAAGAUUGUGAAUGCUGGAUUUUAGUUUGAAAAUUGCUUCUUCUCCCCUCAUCCGUUUUAUGUGUAUCUGUAUGAGAGAAUCAGCUCUGCAAUUUUCAUUGACUGUGUAAAGAGCUGAGGUCAGCUAAUCCCCAAGGGCUCCUUCCCGGAUUUGGCAAGUGACCAGAAUUAAACAAUACAAUAUCAGAAAUGUUAAAAUCACAAGAAGAGACUUAUCCUGGGGUUUUCUUGAUACUGUAACUAACGAUCAUUCAGACAGCAAUGUGAGGCCAGUAAAUACCAGCCCAAAUUCAUCUGGGGACAACUUGACAAAGAGCUAAUACAACCAGGUUUUAAGUAAAUCAUUUUCUAAGUAUAUCAAUAUAUAGAGGGAUGCUGAUGCAGUAUUUCCAUUAAUUCAAAUAUCCUGAUGCUGAAACUCACCCUUCCUGGGUUUUUCUUUUUCAGCUGUGAGCUUUGUUCUGACCUCUGCCCCUUAAAUAACCUCAUCAGGAGUCAGGGCUGCCAAGGUAUUAAAUAAACCAUUUUCUUUUGUCAU